rnacentral:rRNA from 1 species
UACGUAGGGUGCAAGCGUUGUCCGGAAUUAUUGGGCGUAAAGGGCUCGUAGGCGGUCCAUCGCGUCGGGAGUGAAAAGCUGGGGCUUAACCCCAGUCCUGCUUCCGAUACGGGUGGACUAGAGGUAGGUAGGGGAGAACGGAAUUCCUGGUGUAGCGGUGAAAUGCGCAGAUAUCAGGAGGAACACCGAUGGCGAAGGCAGGUCUCUGGGCCACUACUGACGCUGAGAAGCGAAAGCGUGGGGAGCAAACAGG